UACAUAUCAAUAAGCGGAGGAAAAGAAACUAACAAGGAUUCCCCUAGUAACUGCGAGUGAAGCGGGAAAAGCUCAAAUUUAAAAUCUGGUGGCUUUGGUCAUCCGAGUUGUAAUUUAGAGAAGCGUCUUCCGCGCUGGACCGUGCACAAGUCUCCUGGAAUGGAGCGUCAUAGAGGGUGAGAAUCCCGUCUUUGGCACGGACGCACCAGGGCUUCUGUGAUGCGCUCUCGAAGAGUCGAGUUGUUUGGGAAUGCAGCUCAAAAUGGGUGGUGAACUCCAUCUAAAGCUAAAUAUUGGCGAGAGACCGAUAGCGAACAAGUACCGUGAGGGAAAGAUGAAAAGCACUUUGGAAAGAGAGUGAAACAGUACGUGAAAUUGUUGAAAGGGAAACGCUUGAAGUCAGUCGCGUCGACCGAGACUCAGCCUUGCCUCGGCUUGGUGUACUUCUCGGCUGACGGGUCAGCAUCAAUUUUGCCCCUCGGAUAAUGGCGAGGGAAAUGUGGCACCCUUGCGGGUGUGUUAUAGUCCUUUGUCGCAUGCGAGGGUUGGGAUUGAGGAACUCAGCACGCGCCUUUUGGYGUCGGGGCUCUGCCCACGAUACGUGCUUAGGAUGUUGGCGUAAUGGCUUUAAACGACCCGUCUUGAAACACGGACCAAGGAGUCUAACAUGCCCGCGAGUGUUCGGGUGGAAAACCCGUGCGCGCAAUGAAAGUGAAAGUUGGGACCUCUGUCGUGGAGGGCACCGACGCCCGGACCAGACCUUYUGUGACGGAUCUGCGGUGGAGCGUGUAUGUUAGGACCCGAAAGAUGGUGAACUAUGCCUGAAUAGGGUGAAGCCAGAGGAAACUCUGGUGGAGGCUCGUAGCGAUUCUGACGUGCAAAUCGAUCGUCAAAUUUGGGUAUAGGGGCGAAAGACUAAUCGAUCC
rnacentral:rRNA from 1 species